rnacentral:lncRNA from 1 species
AUUUUGCAGGGUCCAACAUUUGGAGCAAUGAUGAUAUCAGGGCAGAAGGCAGCACAUUUAGCCUUGAAGGCAUUGGGACAGCCAAAUGCGAUAGACGGGACCUUCAGCGAAGCUGAAAGAGUACAACCGGAGUUUGUUCUUGCUGCUGCUGAAACAGAGGAGAUUGUGGAUGCUUGAACAUAUUUGAUAGGGGGUUUGGUUUUCAGGGAAUGGACUCCAUAAAGAUUAUACGUAAAUGAAACUAGACCGUUCUGGAAUGGUGUGUGUGAAAGACUGGAGCUGGACAAAAGGAGGACUUUUGCUUUGAGUUUUGGUUUAAUUGAGUUAUGCUUAAUGUCCAUAUUAUCUUAGAAAAUGAAGAGAAAAAAAUGUUGUGCAAUAUUAAAUGAAGGAAAGGUGAAUGUUGCUGCAACUCCAGGUUGUGGGCCAUACCUGAAACCCCUGGGUUUGAGCAGAGAUGCAUUAUUACCACUAAUGUGUUAUCGAUAUGCCCUUCUGGACUUUGAACAAUUUGUAAGCCCCUUUCAGAACAAAAACAGAAAGCAAAUUGUAAUCCCUUUUGUUCAAUAACAAAACUUGC